AAGACUCUAGUAAAACCAUUACACUGCCUUGUCAAGGCAAAAUUGUGGGUUAAACUCCCGCGUGUCUUU
rnacentral:tRNA from 1 species